rnacentral:rRNA from 1 species
GACGAACGCUGGCGGCGUGCUUAACACAUGCAAGUCGAACGGAAAGGCCCUGCUUUUGUGGGGUGCUCGUGUGGCGAACGGGUGAGUAACACGUGAGUAACCUGCCCUUGACUUUGGGAUAACUUCAGGAAACUGGGGCUAAUACCGGAUAGGAGCUCCUGCUGCAUGGUGGGGGUUGGAAAGUUUCGGCGGUUGGGGAUGGACUCGCGGCUUAUCAGCUUGUUGGUGUGGUAGGGGCUUACCAAGGAUUUGAAGGGUAGCCGGCCUGAGAGGGUGACCGGCCACAAUGGGACUGAGGUACGGCCCAGACUCCUACGGGAGGCAGCAGUGGGGAAUAUUGCACAGUGGGCGGAAGCCUGAUGCAGCAACGCCGCGUGCGGGAUGACGGCCUUCGGGUUGUAAACCGCUUUCGCCUGUGACGAAGCGUGAGUGACGGUAAUGGGUAAAGAAGCACCGGCUAACUACGUG